UCUGUCUUUAUAUAACGGAAUUAAUAUGAAAUCUAACAGCAUUCAUUUUUAUUUAUAGGCCUCCAUGCCUGCAACCUCCCCCCAGUGACUUUCACAUUAGACUUGCUCCCUGGAGCAGCUUUCUGUCGGCUUCCAAAACUGCAGCAUAAAGAGAGUUCUUGAAGAUACUUCUGAUGACUUUAUUUCAGAUUCUGAUGGCUCUACUCUGACUCCAAUUUUAUGAAAUCAGCGUAGAAACCAGAUAGCCCUUCAGCUGUGCAGAUGCCUUCAAAGGUUUUUUUCUCAGUCUACAGAGUCCUGACCAGAACUGACAAAAGUAUAGAAAGGAGAGGAUGAUUGGUGUGGAAGGCUAAAAAGGAGAAAGAAGAGACUGAAGGUAAGCUGUACAGGAGAUGACACGAAAAGGGAGAAGUGGAUUAGAUGGAAAAAGAUGACAGGAUAAA
rnacentral:lncRNA from 1 species